AAAUCUAAUUAGAAGCAGUACCCCUGGCAGAGUGGGCCCGAUUAGAAGCAUGUAACUCUGAGGGAAGCCAAUUGGAAGCAUGUACCUCUGCAAAAUUUGAUUAACACUAUUCAACAAAUUUUAUUUUACAUUCUUUUUAAAGUUUACUUUCAUACCUUCUUUCAUUUUUUAUUAAUAAUUAUUCCCCCUGUUAACAUUGUGAAGUACAAAUUAUCACUUCACCAUUUUGUAUCUUUAUUUAAAUCUUAUUUUGAUGAAGGUGCCGUAGAAAUUAAAACAUGCC
rnacentral:lncRNA from 1 species